UAAGGAAUAUUGGUCAAUGGACGCAAGUCUGAACCAGCCAUGCCGCGUGAAGGAUGAAGGCCCUCUGGGUUGUAAACUUCUUUUAUCUGGGACGAAAAAUAGGCUUUCUAGCUUACUUGACGGUACCAGAGGAAUAAGCACCGGCUAACUCCGUGCCAGCAGCCGCGGUAAUACGGAGGGUGCAAGCGUUAUCCGGAUUUACUGGGUUUAAAGGGUGCGUAGGUGGGUUGGUAAGUCAGUGGUGAAAUCU
rnacentral:rRNA from 1 species